rnacentral:rRNA from 1 species
UAGGGAAUCUUCCACAAUGGACGCAAGUCUGAUGGAGCAACGCCGCGUGAGUGAAGAAGGUUUUCGGACCGUAAAGCUCUGUUGUUGGUGAAGAAGGAUAGAGGUAGUAACUGGCCUUUAUUUGACGGUAAUCAACCAGAAAGUCACGGCUAACUACGUGCCAGCAGCCGCGGUAAUACGUAGGUGGCAAGCGUUGUCCGGAUUUAUUGGGCGUAAAGCGAGCGCAGGCGGAAGAAUAAAGUCUGAUGUGAAAGCCCUCG